GAGUCCAAUUUAUCACAAGAAAGGAAUAUCAGAGUUUGUUUUUUUUGGUCCCUGCAUUAGACAAUGACGUUGCGUGACGUCACGUGUAAAAAGGAACUGAGGCCCGACAAGGCAACAUAAAGAAGAAAAUACGACAAACAAGAAAGACCAGCCUUGGUCUCAGGCAAAAGGAAAAACUAUUCCCGGCACCAGUCUUCCUUACUUCCCUGUCCAGGCAGCAUGCGGCGGUCUCUACCAGGUAUGACGUGAAGAAUGUGAAGUCUAACAACAGGCGACGGCAGACAGACCAGGACCAGGAACAGGAACAGGAACGCCACAACAGCCGUCGGCACCGGACUUCCCGGUCCAGGCAGAUAAGUCGAUGCCACCCAAAAGAUACAACGUGAGCAGGAGCGCAGGACAGUAAGCCACGACGCCGGACAGUUUAGGAUCUAGGAGUCUUGGAUGCUACACCAGCGACUGCCUUAAGCUUCCCGGCCCAGGCAGAUCGACCUGACGACCUCCAACAGAAACGCAGAAGCAGACUUUGUCAGAGCAGUAGGCAACAACGCCAUACAGGUCACCAGUAUUCAGGAGUCGAUGGACAGGCCCCAGACGCCAGCCGCAUGCUGUAGAAGCCCCGAACGUGGAAAAAGACCGGCGCAUUGUUGACCUGGAGCGGCGAGUGGACGAGCUGGAGCAAUACACACGCAUGAAUGAUGUGGUCAUCACCAGCAUCAAGAUCAAGCCGUGCUCCUACGCGCGUGCAGUGUCCAUGGACAGCGGGGAGCCCAGCGAACAGGAGACACAGUUGGUGGAGCAGCAGGUAACUUCCUAUCUCCAGAGCAGGGUGAUUAGAGAUGGACCUGGAGUACAUCAAGGCUUGUCACCCAAUGCCCAUGAGGAACCAGAGACCACCAGCUUCACAAACAGGAGAAAGAAAAUGGCACUAUUGAAGCAAGGACGCAAACUGAAAGGUACAGAUAUUUUCAUGAAUGAACACUUGACGAAGAAAAAUGCUGACAUCGCAAGGAUUGCACGACAACUUAAAAGGCAAAGAAAGAUUCAACAAACCUGGGUAACGAACUGUAAGAUCUUCAUCAAACUAAAUGGGACGUCAGAGGAAGCAAAAGUCUUGGUGGUGAGGAAAAUAUAAGAUCUUGAUAAGUAUUGACAUUGAUGCAGUACUUGGUAUCAAUGUAGCUUUGUGACUUUUACAUCAUCUCAAUGCUACCCACACCAGGAACACAGACCACACCAAGUAUUGAUAUGGACAUGUUACAGAAGAUCCUACAACAUCAACAAAACUGGAAAUGUAUGAGUAUCAAGAGCACACCACAACAAAGACUGAUAUGGCGAUAGACCCUGAUAAUAAUUUUUUCUCUGCGAUUGUAAAAAACUGUAAUUGUUUUACUCGUGAACAAUAUGAAAACAGUGUAAAAUCAGAAGAUAGUCUGUCAAUAAUACAUUUCAAUAGUCCAAGCAUGUACACUAACUUUGAGGCUAUCAAGAACUACUUGAAAGAAUUUAGUCAUCCAUUUACCAUUAUUGCAAUUACUUAAACCUGGUUCAACGAUGCUAAAGGUAUUGAUUUUAAUCUGAAUAAAUAUGAUUUAAGAUACAUAAACAGAAUAAAUAAAAUAGGAGGAGGGGUCGCAUUGUACAUUCAUACAUCUGUUACAUUUAGAGUUUUUGAAUGUUUAACAGCUCCUAAAUGACAAAAAUACAAAUAUCUUCAUGAGUUGUGUAUACCGGACACUUGGUUCAAGCAUAGAAACUUUCAAUGAGUGGAUGGUUAAACGUUUUUCCUCUGUGAACCAUCAAACCAUAUUAAUCCAUGGUGAUUUUAACUAUGAUUUGUUAAACUCAAGAAGGCAAAAA